AGAAUGAACGUUGGCGGCGUGGAUUAGGCAUGCAAGUCGAGCGCUCAUCAGCAAUGAUGGGAGCGGCGAACGGCGUAGUAAGACGUAGGAACGUACCCUCGGGACGGGGAUAGCUACGGGAAACUGUAGGUAAUACCCGAUAAUCUCUGCGGAGCAAAGGUGUGAUUCCGCCGUGGGGAGCGGCUUACGCGAUAUUAGCUAGUUGGUGGGGUAAUGGCCUACCAAGGCGAUGAUGUCUAGGGGGUGUGAGAGCAUCGGCCCCCACGACCGGAACUGAGAUACUGCCCGGACACCGUACGGGUGCUG
rnacentral:rRNA from 1 species